UGGGGUCAGAAUCGAGAAACAGUGAACCCUCAGAGGUAUAACCCUGAACAUCAUCUAUGGGAGCUUCAGGUUUUCCACAAAGCAUUAGGUGGAACUUCCAUGCAAUGGGAUCGAUAAUCGGUCUAAAUUGAGGGAAGAAUGUGGAGAAUGCAAAAUCUUCAUUUGGAUCACCCACAUGCUUUGCUUCUGGUUUUUAUCUGCAGGUACCUGAGGUAAAUCCAGCCCAUGUAUGUUCCGAAUAUCAAAGUCAGAAGAUAUGUAGUUGGCUCUGGAGUGAAGUAACUUAUGGCAAUGG